CCUACGGGUGGCAGCAGUGAGGAAUAUUGGUCAAUGGCCGGAAGGCUGAACCAGCCAUGCCGCGUGAAGGGCAGGGCCCUAGGGGCGUUAAACUUCUUUUGUGCGGGAGCAAGAAUGGUCACGUGUGGCCAGACGAGAGUACCGUACGAAGAAGCAGCGGCUAACUCCGGGCCAGCAGCCGCGGUAAUACGGGGGAUGCAAGCGUUAUCCGGAUUUAUUGGGUGUAAAGGGAGCGUAGACGGCAGUGCAAGUCUGGAGGGAAAGGCGGGGGCUCAACCCCCGGACUGCUCGGGAAACUGUACGGCUGGAGUGCAGGAGAGGUAAGUGGAAUUCCUCUUGUAGCGGU
rnacentral:rRNA from 1 species